AUUGAACGCUGGCGGCGUGCCUAACACAUGCAAGUCGAGCGGUAACAGGUGUAGCAAUACAUGCUGACGAGCGGCGGACGGGUGAGUAACGCUUGGGAAUCUGCCUAUUAGUGGGGGACAACCCGGGGAAACUCGGGCUAAUACCGCAUACGCUCUACGGAGGAAGGCCGGGGACCGCAAGGCCUGGCGCUAAUAGAUGAGCCCAAGUCGGAUUAGCUAGUUGGUAGGGAACGGCCUACCAAGGCUACGAUCCGUAACUGGUCUGAGAGGACGACCAGCCACACUGGGACUGAGACACGGCCCAGACUCCUACGGGAGGCAGCAGUGGGGAAUUUUGGACAAUGGGCGCAAGCCUGAUCCAGCCAUGCCGCGUGCGGGAAGAAGGCCUCGGUUGUAA
rnacentral:rRNA from 1 species